CGUUGUCACCUCUCACAACUACUGGAAAACAUUCAGAGUCCUUAGUUCCGGCAAGCAAGAGUAAAUGACUGACUAUACCCAAUCAAGAAGAAAAGGAAGGCUACUGAGUGGAUCCUCACCAAAUCAGUGGCCACCUCCUCCAGGAAGCCUGCCCAGCACCCAAGUGAACUGCCUCUCUUCUGCUCAGCAUUCUCAUGUCCCAACCAUACCACAGGCUGUGGUCAAUGGUCCUUCUGCC